rnacentral:hammerhead_ribozyme from 1 species
AUUCAGGUGACGAGUCUCAAAUAAGACGAAAUGCGCGUUAUGCUGGAU